rfam:Populus trichocarpa scaffold_5_contig_347, whole genome shotgun sequence.
UCUAGAACACGAAAUAUGGGCUGAACACUGAACAAUGUUUGGGCUGCAGGACAGAUUCCAACUUCUCUAUUGUUGCUGUAUUUUGAACUUGAAAAUGGUUCUUUUGAAUCUUAGACUCUCAUGAAAAUUUUAGGCCUAUGUCUUAGCUUUCCAUA